rnacentral:rRNA from 1 species
GAUGAACGCUGGCGGCGUGCCUAAUACAUGCAAGUCGAGCGAACAGACGAGGAGCUUGCUCCUCUGACGUUAGCGGCGGACGGGUGAGUAACACGUGGAUAACCUACCUAUAAGACUGGGAUAACUUCGGGAAACCGGAGCUAAUACCGGAUAAUAUAUUGAACCGCAUGGUUCAAUAGUGAAAGACGGUUUUGCUGUCACUUAUAGAUGGAUCCGCGCCGCAUUAGCUAGUUGGUAAGGUAACGGCUUACCAAGGCAACGAUGCGUAGCCGACCUGAGAGGGGGAUCGGCCACACAGAAACUGAGACACGGGCCAGACUCCUACGGGAGGCAGCAGGAGGGAAUCUCCCGCAAGGGGCGAAAGCCUGCGGGAGCAACGCCGGGGGAGUGAUGAAGGUCUUCGGAUCGUAAAACUCUUUUAUUAGGGAAGAAAAAAUGUGAAAGUAACUAGGCCCGUCUGGACGGUACCUAACCAGAAAGCCACGGCUAACUACGU